GAUGAACGCUGGCGGCGUGCCUAAUACAUGCAAGUCGAGCGAACAGACGAGGAGCUUGCUCCUCUGACGUUAGCGGCGGACGGGUGAGUAACACGUGGAUAACCUACCUAUAAGACUGGGAUAACUUCGGGAAACCGGAGCUAAUACCGGAUAAUAUAUUGAACCGCAUGGUUCAAUAGUGAAAGACGGUGUUGCUGUCACUUAUAGAUGGAUCCGCGCCGCAUUAGCUAGUUGGUAAGGUAACGGCUUACCAAGGCAACGAUGCGUAGCCGACCUGAGAGGGUGAUCGGCCACACUGGAACUGAGACACGGUCCAGACUCCUACGGGAGGCAGCAGUAGGGAAUCUUCCGCAAUGGGCGAAAGCUUGACGGAGCAACGCCGCGUGAGUGAUGAAGGUCUUCGGAUCGUAAAACUCUGUUAUUAGGUAAGAACAAAUGUGUAAGUAACUAUGCACGUCUUGACGGUACCUAAUCAGAAAGCCACGGCUAACUACGUG
rnacentral:rRNA from 1 species